CCUANGGGAGGCAGCAGUAAGGAAUAUUGCUCAAUGGGAGAAAUCCUGAAGCAGCAACGCCGCGUGAAGGAUGAAGGGCUUUUGCUUGUAAACUUCUGUAGUGAGGGAAAAAACCUCCAUUUUAUGGAGUAUGAUGGUACCUCAAAAGUAAGCCCCGGCUAACUACGUGCCAGCAGCCGCGGUAAUACGUAGGGGGCAAACGUUGUCCGGAUUUACUGGGUGUAAAGGGUGGUCAGGCGGUCUUGUAAGUUAGAAGUGAAAUCCUAGAGCUUAACUCUGGAACUGCUUUUAAUACUGCAAGGCUUGAAUGUGGAAGAGGAGGAUGGAAUUUCUGGUGUAGCAGUGAAAUGCGUAGAUAUCAGAAAGAACACCAGUGGCGAAGGCGGUCCUCUGGUCCACUAUUGACGCUAAAGCACGAAAGCGUGGGGAGCAAACAGGAUUAGAUACCCUANUANUC
rnacentral:rRNA from 1 species